AGUUUCUGUCGUUAGAAUGGGCUCUUGACUGAGUUCUCACCUUCCACACCUUUGGUUGUCUAGAGAAUAAGACCAAUCUUGUAAAAACAACUUGAAGAAAGGAAGAGAGGGGCUCUAGCAUAUCUUGCACUCUUGUGAUGGACACUGCUCCAACCUUGGAAAGCUACAGAAUCAGUUGGCCAAGGAGAUUGAGACUGCAAAAGAAGACACUUGUAAUAAGUUAUCCCACACAGAGACUAAAGAACCAAAUCCUUCAUGGAAUCAAGAGAUGAAACUGAAAGUUUGAUCCUGCAGGUUGAAGACUCUCUUUUGGAGUUGUGUUUUUCUAUGUUGUGUGACCUACCCAUAUUUCCUAAGAAGCCCUCACUGCCUCAUGUGGGCUCUUCCCAGAAGUGCCUCUGUGAAAAUGAUGAGUGAAACCAAUGAAGGUUAGCUGGGU